GGAAUUGGCCCUCUGAAAAACGUCUCUGCAGAGCGCCCCCACGCCGGGCAUAAAUACCCGGGGCACCCCCGCGACUCCGCCAUUACUCCGCGGCAUCAGGCAGGCUAGCCGUGCUCCCUCCCAUCUCUUCUCUUCUCUUGUCUUCUCUUCUCUCCCCCAAGGAGGUCAAAGACACAGCGCAUCUGCAUCCGGCCUCCUCCGCGCGCGCGAAUUCGGGAGGGAGAGGGGCGGUAAUGGGGAGGGCUCCGUGCUGCGAGAAGAUGGGCCUCAAGAGGGGCCCCUGGACGCCGGAGGAGGACAAGAUCCUGGUCGCCCACAUCCACAGCCACGGCCACGGCAACUGGCGCGCGCUGCCCAAGCAAGCCGGCCUGCUGCGGUGCGGCAAGAGCUGCCGGCUCCGGUGGAUCAACUACCUGCGGCCGGACAUCAAGCGCGGCAACUUCACCGACGAGGAGGAGCAGUCAAUCAUCCAGCUGCACCAGCUGCUCGGCAACAGGUGCCUACCACUCCUCCUCGCCUCCUUCCUCCUCCUCCUCCUCCUCCAUCACAUCUCCACCGUUCCCCUCCUGCUAAAACGGGGGCAAUCAUUGCCGCUGCUUGCUUCAAUCGCAAAACAGAGGAGAGGUUUAUUAUUAUUAUAUAUUAUUCCCCUUUUUUCCCUUUUUCUUCGCGGGGGCAAAAAAAAAAAAACAUUAUGUUACUACCAUCCAUCGCGGGCCCCGCCCGAAGUAAAGAAUAAUCGCAAGUGCGGAUUUGUUUACGGCUAAUUGCAUCGCCGGUGAUGCGCGAGAUCUUGAAAGAUUCCAUCUUGUUUGGCCGCUCCGGCCACGGGCGAGCUGCGCCCUCUUGAUUUCAGUGCCGCCACCACGGCUACUUUGGCAUUAAACUACGGACGGCGUCGCGGCUCCGUCGGGGAAUCAGAUCACGUCGUGAUCAUCAUCAGAUUAAAACAAACAAACGAACACGAAUUCAUCUUUGCCUUGUCAUCUCUGUCUGGACUGUGCGCUGAUUGGAUUCGAUCCGUGUGUUGUUUGCUUGCGUGCGCGCAGAUGGUCCGCGAUUGCCGCCCGGCUGCCGGGGAGGACGGACAACGAGAUCAAGAACGUGUGGCACACCCACCUCAAGAAGCGGCUCGACCCCGGCGCGCAGGAGCAGCUCGAGGAGGCCAGCGCCGCCAAGAAGCGCAAGAAGCCGGCGGCGGCGGCGCGGAAGCGCGAGGGCAAGAUCAAGAUGAGGAAGCUCGACGCGCUGACCGCCAAGGCGGCGCCCGUGCUGUCCUCGCCCGACCGCUCCGUCUCGUCCACGCUCACCGAGUCCACGUCCACGGCCUCGGCGGCGGAGGAGCAGCACGGCAACUCGGGCAGCUCCGCCUCCGCCUCGGCGUCCGUCAAGGAGGAGUGCUUCACCUCGUCCGAGGAGUCGGAGGAGUUCCAGAUCGACGAGAGCUUCUGGUCGGAGACGCUGUCCAUGCCGCUGGACGACAUCAACGACGUCUGCAUGGAGCCCCACGACGCGUUCGGCAAGCCCGCCGACGGCGACAUGGACUACUGGCUCAAGGUGUUCAUGGAGGGCGGCGGCGACGACAACAACGACGGCGCGCUAGACUUACCGCAGAUUUAGGGAGGGAGACUUGGCUCCUGAUUGAUCGUUCUUUUUUCUCUCUCUACCCGCGCCACCUUGCUGCACCGGAGGGAUUGCUAACAGAGAAGAGUGCGCUGCACCGUGGAGGAAAAUUAGUAGCCAGCAAGAACGCGGAUCAUGCCCGGUCGGUAGAUUUCUUUGAUCCAUCUUGUUUGUUCACCUUGCUGUAUAGAAAGAUGAGAGAUCAGUGAUCGGAACCGAUGCAUUCUGAGUUAGAGAUUAUCUGUUCUUCCGCACAGGGUGCAAAUAUCAGUUUCUGUACCACCAUGGAGAUUACUAUCUGAAAUGGAGUCUGCUUUUCUCAUUUGGCUGAUCAAAACCGAUCAUUCCUCACUGCAUGUGUGCUCAGUUACCGAAUCACAUCAUGUGAUGUUUUGGAGAAGUGUGAGGAUUAAACCAGUGUAUGUAUCAGUACGGGCUUUUGUC
rnacentral:rRNA from 1 species